AUGGCAGAGGAGCUUGAAGUUUUAUGGAAGAAACUUUCUUUCACGGAGGAGGAAGAUGAGGGUAUAGAGAUAGAUAGCAAUAGCACAAGAACUGCUAAGGAAAUAGGGAAGAACUGUGCGAUGAUGAAGAUUAUGUCCCAUAAAAGUAUAAGUUUAGAUGCCCUGAGAAAGAAUAUGAGGAUGUUGUGGAAGCCAAAUAAGGGGGUCCAAAUUUUUGAGGUAGAGGAAGACCUUUUCCUGGUGGAAUUUAGUGAUGGAAAAGACAAGAAGAAAGUCCUUGAUAUGUGCCUAUGGAACUAUGAAAAACAGUUAGUUCUUAUACAGGAGUUUGAUGGUGAGCUAUCUCCGAAGGAAAUAUAGCUUAAAUGGGCACCUCUCUGGAUUCAAAUAUUCAAUCUCCCUUUAAAGUGUAGGACGAAGGAAAUAGGAUAGGCGAUUGGUUCCAAACUGGGUGAGGUUUUGGAAGUGGAUGUCUUUGAAUCUGGAGUGCAACGGGCAAGAUGCCUACGCGUAUGAGUGCGCACUGAUGUGACAAAGAGAUUGGUCUGCGGGAAGAAGAUAAAUAUAGAAGAAGGGGAAGGCAGAUGGGUUCAGUUCAAGUACGAGAGGCUCCCUAACUUCUGCUACAAGUGUGGCUUACUCAGUCACGCUCUAAAGGAUUGCCCAGAAUCUAGAGAUCGUAACACGUUGGGUGAAAAGGAGGAACUACAAUAUGGGGCUUGGCUGAGAGGAGAAAUUUUAUGGAGAAGCAAUCAAGACUCAACCAAGUUUGGUGGAGAAAGGUGUAGGAAACAGGCACAGGGAUUAUGGCGCCAAGGUGGUGCAGAGGUUGGAGGUGGUUUAGGCACGUGGGAGUUCGAAGGAAGAUGGUAAGGCACAUGUGCCAAACCAAACGAACCUUGAGACAUGCUCCUCGACAUGGAGAGAAAAAAGUGUUGGUGCAUUGAAAUAGCAGCUAAAAAAAACUUGCACAAAAAUGAGUUAGUCAAAGGGUUGGGGAGAAAGCAAGGGGAGAAAGAAGCAGAUUUGAGUGAAAAAGCAUUGGACCAAUCAAAAGCCUAGUCUAGGGUAGUAGAAAAUAUGUUGUGGGAGACAGCAACUUCUCAUGAGGGAGCACCUAAUUUCAAAGUUAUUCUGACGCCAAGCCCAGGAAGCAACAAUGUGGAGGGCAGCCCAUUUUCACCAAGUGUUGAACUAGGCCCAUUGGCCACAAGCUUUGACAUGAGCAACGGUUGGAUAACUGAUCAGUUAGACCCAAUUACAAUUGAGAGUGUUAAGGAAGUGUCUCCUUUUAGUUUGAGUGGCCCAAACUAGAAAAAAAAAAGUGUAGGAGGAGGAAUAACAUAGGCCCAUAUUCAGUUUGCUACUAAAACUAGUCAAAGGAGAGGUGAAUCCAAAAUACUUGGUACAAAGCGUAAUGUGAGGGUUGCUUUUGAUGAAGAGAAGGUACGUGGCAGGGGCAAGAAACAAGCCGUGGAAGAUGCACAAAUCCAAAUGGUGGAGGUUGAUUCUUAGCCCCGUUGACACCAAUGAAUUCCUUAGCCUGGAAUUACCAGGGGCUUGGGAAUCGCCGGACAGUUCGAGAGCUUGUGGAAAUCGUGCAAGUUAAAGGUCCCAAGAUUGUGUUUCUCUCUGAGACUUGGUCAGGUAGGAAGCACAUGGAGAAAGUGAAGAGGGAGUUGGAGUUUGAUGGCUUGUUCAUCGUUCCUAGUGAUAGAAGGGGUUGUGGGCUAGCGUUGUUAUGGAAACUGGAGGUGGUUGUAUGGGUAGACAGCUUUUCGAAAUUUCACAUUGAUGCGAUUGUUAAUGGUGGAUCGGAGGAGGCGUGGCAGUUAACUGGGUUCUACAGGGAGCUCGACAGAGAUAGAAAGAGGAGGGAUGGAAUAUGUUGAGGAUGUUGCGCUCGGGGUCGAAAUUGAUGUAGUGUUGCUUUGGAGACUUCAACGAGCUGCUGAAAGUUGAAGAUAAAAGAGAAGGUAGGCGCCGAGGUGAAUGGGUUUGGGAACAGUUGGAUCGGGGAGUAGCAAACUAUGACUGGUUAGCAAAAUUCCCAACAGGUAGGGUCCGAAACUUGUCCUGUUUUACUUCGGAUCAUUGUCCAAUUUUGUUAACAUUAGACUCAGAGGGAGAAAAGCAAUGGUGGAAAAGAAAGCCUUUAGAUUUGAGGCAAUGUGGCUAACUAAUUUAGGAUGCCAUUACACGGUCUCAAGAGCGUGGGAAUCUAAUCCAAGUGGUGCACCUAUGUACAGAGUCACGAAGAAGCUAAAGAAAUGUAAGAAGCUGGUGAAAAAGUGGAGUAAGUCACAGUUUGGUAGUGUGCUAGUUCGGAUCAGAGAAACUAAAGUGGCUUUAUGGAAGGCAGAGGAAAAUGCAAUGCAGAGGGGUGAUUAUCAAGAGGUGAUUAGGCUGAAAUUGGAACUAAAUUUGUUUUGGAUAGAGAAGAGUAGAUGUGGCAUUCGCGAGCACAUGUGAAGUGGGUACAGUGUGGUGACAAAAACACCAGAUAUUUUCAUGGUACAAAAACUUAACGAGAAAGAAGAAAUUUCAUUAAGGGCUUAAUGGAUGAUCAGGGGGUGUGGCAAAGGGAGGAAGAAACUAUCUCAGCCUUGCUAGUUGGCUACUAUGGAAGCCUUUUUACCUCAUUAGACCCUUAUAAUCUGGAUUUAGUUUUGGAAGGGGUCCAAGCAGUGGUUACCGAAGAUAUGAAUGCUAAGCUCGUUGAGAGGUACACAGCAAAGGAAGUGGCAGUUGUAAUCAAAGAGAUGGCUCCGCUAAAGGCCCCCGGACUUGACGGUAUGCCACCUUUGUUCUUUCAAACGUACUGGCCAGACAUAGGUAUGGACAUAAUCGAAGCUGUACUUUCUAGUUUGAAUUCGGGUUCUUUGCUGAAAUCCAUAAAUCAUACAUUUAUCACCCUAAUUCCAAAGGUUAAAAAUCUUGAAAGAGUAAUUGAAUUCAGGCUUAUUAGCCUUUGUAAUGUGAUUUAUAAGAUUAUUAGUAAAGUUAUAGCAAACAGGCUUAAACCACUGCUUAACUCUAUUAUCUCAGAAACACAAAGUGUUUUUAUAGCUGGCAGGUUGAUCAUAGAUAAUAUCUUGAUAGCAUUCAAAUUAUUACAUCAUAUGAAAACUAGCUGCCUCAGGAAAAAAAGGUUUUAUGGCAUUCAAGUUCGACAUGAGUAAAGCCUACGACUGGGUGGAAUGGGUAUUUUUGAAGAAUAUAUUGUUGAGAUUGGGUUUUCAACAGUCAUGGGUUGAUUUGAUUAUGGAAUGUGUGACGACGGUUUCUUAUUCUAUCUUGGUGGAUGGGGAACCAAAAGGAAUGAUCUAUCCAACUAGAGGUAUAAGACAAGGGGAUCCUCUCUCCCCUUAUCUUUUCCUUUUCUACGCUGAGGGCUUGAAUGCUAUCUUGAGGAAAGCUUCUGUUUCUGGGGAAAUUGAGGGGUUUUCUUUAUGCAGACGUGGGCCAAAGAUUACCCAUCUUUUCAUCGCGGAUGAUUGCCUACUAUUUUGCCACUCCACCUUGAUGUGAGAAAAUUCAAGACUUGCUAGCUAUUUAUGAAGCUGCGCUUUAGGUCAGAUGGUCAAUAAAGAUAAGACCACUUUAUUUUUCAGAAAAAAUACUAAUGAAGAGUCCCAAGAAGUUAUAAAAUAGUCCCUUGGUGUAUUGGCAAUUCAACACUAUGAAAAAUGCUUGGGGCUGCCCUCCUUUGUGGGGAAAAACAAGAAAGCGUGUUUCACAUUAGUCAAGGAAUGAAUUUGGGCAAGAAUGAAGGGAUGGAAGAAGAAGUUGCUCUCUCAAGCCGGUAAAGAGAUCAUGAUCAAGGCUAUCAUACAAUCGAUACCGGCCUAUUCCAUAAGUGUGUUCAGACUACCUACAAGCCUAUGCAAGGAUAUUGAGGCCAUGAUUAGGAAAUUUUGGUGGGGGCAAGAAAAGAAGAAGAAAAUUCACUGGGUGAAAUGGAGUUCGUUAUGUUCCUCGAAAUCUGUUGGUGGCAUGGGGUUUAGGGAUUUUCAGCACUUCAACAACGCUUUAUUGGCUAAGCAAGUGUGGCGGCUUUUUCACCGAAAAGAUACCCUUCUCUAUAGGGUGUUCAAAUUGAAGUUCUUCCCCAGUGGUAGCAUUUUUGAUGCUGCUGCACCCGCAAAAUGCUCCUAUGCUUGGUGAAGUAUACUGUAGGCUAGGGAGGUUGUUCAGAAGGGUGCUAUUUGGCAUGUUGGUGAUGGACAAACAAUAAAGGUUUGGGAGCAUAGAUGGUUACCUAACCCUGCACACAGUAAAAUCCUGUCUCCUAGAUUAAAUUCUGAUAUCUCACAGGUUAGUGAAUUCUUAAUGCCCAAUGCCCAAUCUUGGAAUGAGGAUUUGAUUGAUCAUACUUUUAUGAGUUGGGAGGCUGAAGAGAUUAAACGGACCCAUGUCAGUGGACUUGGAUAG
rnacentral:sRNA from 1 species